rnacentral:rRNA from 1 species
UGUAGGCGGUUUGCCAAGUCAGAUGUGAAAGCCCCGGGCUUAACCUGGGAACUGCAUUUGAGACUGGUAGGCUAGAGGUUGGAAGAGGAGAGUGGAAUUCCCAGUGUAGAGGUGAAAUUCGUAGAUAUUGGGAAGAACACCAGUGGCGAAGGCGGCUCUCUGGUCCACACCUGACGCUGAGGCGCGAAAGCGUGGGGAGCAAACA